rnacentral:lncRNA from 1 species
CGGUAAAUAAUUUUUGUAGUGUAAAAGCUAAAUAAAUUUAUACAUACUUUAAUAUAGAUAACCAAAGUAUAAAAUUUAAUUUACAGUGAGACGUGGGCCCACGAACGACCAAAAGUAUUAAAAGCAGUAAACCUACAGUUAUUGAGGAUGCAAGUCCAACUGUAGCCCUCAACAAAGUGAGCUAUCUACUGACUAUCCUAAGCUUGAAAGGGGUGGAAAGGAGGCUGGUGAGAUUAUAUAAUCCCAAUGACUAAACAAAUACCAUCUAAAAUAUCUAAAGCUGAG